UGGGGAAUUUUGGACAAUGGGGGCAACCCUGAUCCAGCAAUGCCGCGUGUGUGAAGAAGGCCUUCGGGUUGUAAAGCACUUUUGUUCGGGAAGAAAUCCAUUGGGCUAAUACCCCGCGGGUAUGACGGUACCGGAAGAAUAAGCACCGGCUAACUACGUGCCAGCAGCCGCGGUAAUACGUAGGGUGCAAGCGUUAAUCGGAAUUACUGGGCGUAAAGCGUGCGCAGGCGGUUCAGCAAGUUGGAUGUGAAAUCCCCGGGCGUAACCUGGGAACUGCAUUUAAAACUGAUGAGCUAGAGUACGUUAGAGGGGUGUGGAAUUUCCUGGGUAGCGGUGAAAUGCGUAGAUAUAGGAAGUAACACCAGGGGCGAAGGCGACCACCUGGACUGAUACUGACACUGAGGUGCGAAAGCGUGGGGAGCAAACA
rnacentral:rRNA from 1 species